GCCUGGGUGGCUCAGUGGGUUAAAGCCUCUGCCUUCGGCUCAGGUCAUGAUCCUGGGGUCCUGGGAUCGAGCCCCACCUCAGGCU
rnacentral:tRNA from 1 species